rnacentral:sRNA from 1 species
UCCUUACAUCUAAGGAUAACGCCAUUGCC